GCGGAUCGACUAUUCAUUCUUUACUCCAGACUGUUUCCAUCUUACCAUUAAAGGUCAUGAGCAGAUGGCAACAGGCCUGUGGAACAACAUGCUACAACCGUAUGGAGAAAAAACUCAGCUGGACUCAUUUUCUGAGGAGGUGAAGCUCCUAUGUCCCUCUGAGGAUCAUCCAUAUAUUUACACCAAGACACCAGAGAGCCCGUCUGCUGCAUCUUGGACACUCAGAGGAUCCGGUCUGCUCAACACCUUCCUCCUCCUUGCUGUGCUCCUAUGUGCCUCCCCCUGAGCAAGACACAGGAAGAAUGCUUGGCGGAGAGACGUUUGAGUGUGUUACUGAUGGAAAUUGUGUAGGGAAAUUGCCUCCGUUGUUACAAUUGGGGCAGUAUGUGAUAAGAGCUUUGGACUUUGGUUUAUACACCACUCUCUCCUGACUGCCGUGCCGUCAUCUUGCCUUUGGGAGUGAUUGGGAGAGCACAGAUGGAACAUAAAUGAAAAAAUUGGGAAAAAUAAAUAAAAUACAGCAAAGUGUUAUUUUUUAAAUCA